rnacentral:rRNA from 1 species
ACAUGUAGGGGGCGAGCGUUGUUCGGAAUCAUUGGGCGUAAAGGGCGCGCAGGCGGCGAGGCAAGUCCGGUGUGAAAGUGCUCGGCUCAACCGAGUGAUGCGCUGGAAACUGCCCUGCUUGAGUACGGGAGGGGACGUCGGAAUUCCAGGUGUAGGGGUGAAAUCUGUAGAUAUCUGGAAGAACACCGGUGGCGAAGGCGGACGUCUGGCCAUGUACUGACGCUGAGGCGCGAAGGUGCGGGGAGCGAACAGGUUUAGAUACCCUGGUAGUCCGCACAGUAAACGAUGUGCACCAGGUGGCGGGGGGUAGCCCUCGGUACCGAAGCCAACGCAUUAAGUGCACCGCCUGGGGAGUAUGCUCGCAAGGGUGAAACUCAAAUGAAUUGACGGGG